rnacentral:lncRNA from 1 species
GUCAAAGUACGGCCUUCAACACGGAGCCUUGGCUAUAAUGUAUGGUAUUUUUCAUAAGAGAUAAAAAAAAAAAAAAUAAGAAAUAUAUAUUUUUUUGCAAUAAUAAUGAUAUAUAUUAGUAUCUGCAUUUAUCUUAUAAAUAUAUAUAUUAGUAUCUGCAUUUAUCUUAUAAAUUUGUUGUGUGGUUUGAAAGUGAUCUUCAAUGUCGUCAUUUGCAUUGUUAAUGGACCAAGUAAGCCUUGUAUGAAAUCUGAUGACCAGUUUAACACUAAACAGAUUGCUUCGUCAGAGGUUGACAGGUAUAAUAAAAGACCACCACCAAAAACAGGACAUGAAUGUGGAGUAAAAAAAGGCGGCUGACAAUUUAUG